GCCUGGCGGCCGUAGCGCGGUGGUCCCACCUGACCCCAUGCCGAACUCAGAAGUGAAACGCCGUAGCGCCGAUGGUAGUGUGGGGUCUCCCCAUGCGAGAGUAGGGAACUGCCAGGCAUC
rnacentral:rRNA from 1 species